rnacentral:rRNA from 1 species
UACGUAGGGUGCAAGCGUUAUCCGGAAUUAUUGGGCGUAAAGAGCUCGUAGGCGGUUUGUCGCGUCUGCUGUGAAAACUGGAGGCUCAACCUCCAGCCUGCAGUGGGUACGGGCAGACUAGAGUGCGGUAGGGGGAGAUUGGAAUUCCUGGUGUAGCGGUGGAAUGCGCAGAUAUCAGGAGGAACACCGAUGGCGAAGGCAGAUCUCUGGGCCGUAACUGACGCUGAGGAGCGAAAAGCUGGGGAGCGAACAGG